rnacentral:rRNA from 1 species
AGAGUUUGAUCCUGGCUCAGAGCGAACGUUAGCGGCGGGCCUAACACAUGCAAGUCGAACGGGCAGUAGCAAUACUGUCAGUGGCGCACGGGUGAGUAACGCGUAGAUAAUCUACCUUCCAGCGGGGGAUAACGUUCCGAAAGGAACGCUAAUACCGCAUAAGACCACGGAGUCUUCGGGCUCUGCGGGAAAAGGUGGCCUCUCCUUGGAAGCUAUCACUGGAAGAUGAGUCUGCGUCCCAUCAGCUAGUUGGUGAGGUAAUGGCUCACCAAGGCAAAGACGGGUAGCUGGUCUGAGAGGAUGAUCAGCCACACUGGUACUGGAACACGGACCAGACUCCUACGGGAGGCAGCAGUGGGGAAUAUUGGGCAAUGGGCGCAAGCCUGACCCAGCCACGCCGCGUGAGUGAUGAAGGCCUUCGGGUUGUAAAGCUCUGUGGGAAGGGGCGAAAAACUCAAACCUAAUACGUUUGAGGUUGACGGUACCUUCUUAGCAAGCACCGGCUAACUCUGUGCCAGCAGCCGCGGUAAGACAGAGGGUGCAAACGUUGCUCGGAUUUACUGGGCGUAAAGCGCGUGUAGGCGGGCGACUAAGUCGGAUGUGAAAUCCCUGGGCUCAACCUAGGAACUGCAUUCGAAACUGGUCACCUGGAGUGAUGGAGAGGAGAGCGGAAUUCCCGGUGUAGAGGUGAAAUUCGUAGAUAUCGGGAGGAACACCAGUGGCGAAGGCGGCUCUCUGGACAUUUACUGACGCUGAGACGCGAAAGCGUGGGGAGCAAACAGGAUUAGAUACCCUGGUAG